UACGGAGGGGGCAAGCGUUAUUCGGAAUUAUUGGGCGUAAAGGGCGCGUAGGCGGUGAGGUAUGUCGAAGGUGAAAUCCCACAGCUCAACUGUGGAACUGCCUUCGAAACUGCCUGACUAGAGUCCGGGAGAGGGUAGCGGAAUUCCCAGUGUAGCGGUGAAAUGCGUAGAUAUUGGGAGGAACACCAGUGGCGAAGGCGGCUACCUGGACCGGUACUGACGCUGAGGCGCGAAAGCGUGGGGAGCAAACAGG
rnacentral:misc_RNA from 1 species